GACGAACGCUGGCGGCGUGCUUAACACAUGCAAGUCGAACGGAAAGGCCCUGCUUUUGUGGGGUGCUCGAGUGGCGAACGGGUGAGUAACACGUGAGUAACCUGCCCUUGACUUUGGGAUAACUUCAGGAAACUGGGGCUAAUACCGGAUAGGAGCUCCUGCUGCAUGGUGGGGGUUGGAACGUUUCGGCGGGAGGGGAUGGACUCGCGGCUUAUGAGCUUGCUGGUGGGGUAGUGGCUUACCAAGGCUUUGACGGGUAGCCGGCCGGAGAGGGUGACCGGCGACAUUGGGACUGAGAUACGGCCCAGACUCCUACGGGAGGCAGCAGUGGGAAAUAUUGCACAAUGGGAGGAAGCCUGAUGCAGCAACGCCGCGUGCGGGAUGACGGCCUUCGGGUUGUAAACCGCUUUCGCCUGUGACGAAGCGUGAGUGACGGUAAUGGGUAAAGAAGCACCGGCUAACUACGUG
rnacentral:rRNA from 1 species